CCUACGGGUGGCAGCAGUGAGGAAUAUUGGUCAAUGGACGAGAGUCUGAACCAGCCAAGUAGCGUGAAGGAUGACUGCCCUAUGGGUUGUAAACUUCUUUUAUAAAGGAAUAAAACGAGGCACGUGUGCCUCUUUGCAUGUACUUUAUGAAUAAGGAUCGGCUAACUCCGCGCCAGCAGCCGCGGUAAUACGGAGGAUCCGAGCGUUAUCCGGAUUUAUUGGGUUUAAAGGGAGCGUAGAUGGGUUGUUAAGUCAGUUGUGAAAGUUUGCGGCUCAACCGUAAAAUUGCAAUUGAUACUGGCAGUCUUGAGUAAAGGUGGGGUAGGCGGAAUUCGUGGUGUAGCGGUGAAAUGCUUAGAUAUCACGAAGAACCCCGAUGGCGAAGGCAGGUUACUAGACUGUGACUGACAUUGAUGCUCGAAAGUGUGGGUAUCAAACAGGAUUAGAUACCCCAGUAGUC
rnacentral:rRNA from 1 species